rnacentral:rRNA from 1 species
UCGGGAAUUUUGGGCAAUGGGCGAAAGCCUGACCCAGCAACGCCGCGUGAAGGAUGAAGUAUUUCGGUAUGUAAACUUCGAAAGAAUAGGAAGAAUAAAUGACGGUACUAUUUAUAAGGUCCGGCUAACUACGUGCCAGCAGCCGCGGUAAUACGUAGGGACCAAGCGUUGUUCGGAUUUACUGGGCGUAAAGGGCGCGUAGGCGGCAAUUCAAGUCAUCUGUGAAAUCUCCGGGCUUAACUCGGAACGGUCAGAUGAUACUGCUUUGCUAGAGUGCAGAAGGGGCAAUCGGAAUUCUUGGUGUAGCGGUGAAAUGCGUAGAUAUCAAGAGGAACACCUGAGGUGAAGACGGGUUGCUGGGCUGACACUGACGCUGAGGCGCGAAAGCCAGGGGAGCAAACAGGAUUAGAUACCCUUGUAGUCCCUGAGCGGGCUGGCAAGGCGCAU